UAGAGUUUGAUCCUGGCUCAGAUUGACCCUUUUGCGGAAUGCUUUACACAUGCAAGUCGAACGGCAGCACGCCUUUACCUGGUGGCGAGUGGCGAACGGGUGAGUAAUACAUCGGAACGUGCCCAAUCGUGGGGGAUAACGUAGCGAAAGUUACGCUAAUACCGCAUACGAUCUACGGAUGAAAGCGGGGGAUCGCAAGACCUCGCGCGAAUGGAGCGGCCGAUGUCAGAUUAGGUAGUUGGUGGGGUAAAGGCUCACCAAGCCGACGAUCUGUAGCUGGUCUGAGAGGACGACCAGCCACACUGGGACUGAGACACGGCCCAGACUCCUACGGGAGGCUGCAGUCGAGAAUCUUCCGCAAUGGGCGAAAGCCUGACGGAGCGACGCCGCGUGGGGGAUGAAUGGCUUCGGCCCGUAAACCCCUGUCAUUUGCGAUCA
rnacentral:rRNA from 1 species